rnacentral:rRNA from 1 species
GACGAACGCUGGCGGCGUGCCUAACACAUGCAAGUCGAACGGAACUGUUUUGAAAGAUUUCUUCGGAAUGAAUUUGAUUUAGUUUAGUGGCGGACGGGUGAGUAACGCGUGAGUAACCUGCCUUCAAGAGGGGGAUAACAUUCUGAAAAGAAUGCUAAUACCGCAUGAUAUAUCGGAACCACAUGGUUUUGAUAUCAAAGAUUUUAUCGCUUGAAGAUGGACUCGCGUCCGAUUAGUUAGUUGGUGAGGUAACGGCUCACCAAGACCGCGAUCGGUAGCCGGACUGAGAGGUUGAACGGCCACAUUGGGACUGAGACACGGCCCAGACUCCUACGGGAGGCAGCAGUGGGGGAUAUUGCGCAAUGGGGGCAACCCUGACGCAGCAACGCCGCGUGAAGGAUGAAGGUUUUCGGAUUGUAAACUUCUUUUAUUAAGGACGAAAAAUGACGGUACUUAAUGAAUAA